UCAACGACUUUAUACCUUCAGGAAAGGGAAUUAGGUUUUCAUGACGACAAGAAGGGAAGAUACAUGUUUAAGUGAAGAUUGCUGUUAAAAAAGAAAGGCUUAAUAGACUAAUAAUAAACCCAUUCCAAGCUGGCUGCCAGUGCUGGGAAAAACUCCAAAGGCCUGAGUUGAAGAGGAGAGAUGUCAUGUCCAUACAUGGGGGUAAAAAUAGCAUGAGAGACUGAAUGGAAAUCAUACAUUCAGCCUACAGCCAUUAAAGGGAAACAUGUAGGUGGAACUGAUUCAGAUGCUUUCUUAGGAAGAGGGGGUGGAGAGCCCUGAGAAGCACCUGGUUUAUGGAGAG